GACCUGGCUGGGCGGUCUUGCCGAAAGGUAAGCACUGCUCUGGUCGGGUCUUUCCUUCUGGGGAACCAGUGUGCUCUUAAUUGGGUGCGCUGGGGAUCCAGGACUUUUACUUUGAAAAAAUUAGAGUGUUUAAAGCAGGCUCACGCUUGAAUACAUUAGCAUGGAAUAAUGGAAUAGGGC
rnacentral:rRNA from 1 species